AUGUUCUUCAAAGAGCCUUUCAAAACCAACCACUUUGCAUUGUUCUUCAGGCUCCCAGAUGCUACAGGAAUGGGCUCCACCAUCUCCUCAUCCCUCCACAAUAUCCCGACAAGAAUAGGACUGGCAAUGUUUAUCCAUGUUCCACAGUCUGAGCUUCCAGUUUAUCCCAAGCAGCAUAUAGUCUGGGCUGUACAAAUAUCCAAUUCUGACUCCUGUCUCCUCUGGAAGUCUUUCACAAGCUUUGAGAAGUUGAUAAAUGAAAGAUGA
rnacentral:lncRNA from 1 species